rnacentral:rRNA from 1 species
GAUGAACGCUGGCGGCGUGCCUAAUACAUGCAAGUCGAUCGAACAGAUGAGGAGCUUGCUCCUCUGACGUUAGCGGCGGACGGGUGAGUAACACGUGGAUAACCUACCUAUAAGACUGGGAUAAAUUCGGGAAACCGGAGCUAAUACCGGAUAAUAUAUUGAACCGCAUGGUUCAAUAGUGAAAGACGGUUUUGCUGUCACUUAUAGAUGGAUCCGCGCCGCAUUAGCUAGUUGGUAAGGUAACGGCUUACCAAGGCAACGAUGCGUAGCCGACCUGAGAGGGUGAUCGGCCACACUGGAACUGAGACACGGUCCAGACUCCUACGGGAGGCAGCAGUAGGGAAUCUUCCGCAAUGGGCGAAAGCCUGACGGAGCAACGCCGCGUGAGUUAUGAAGGUCUUCGGAUCGUAAAACUCUGUUAUUAGGGAAGAACAAAUGUGUAAGUAACUAUGCACGUCUUGACGGUACCUAAUCAGAAAGCCACGGCUAACUACGUG